rnacentral:rRNA from 1 species
CCUACGGGUGGCAGAAGUGAGGAAUAUUGGUCAAUGGACGCAAGUCUGAACCAGCCAUGCCGCGUGCAGGAAGACGGCUCUAUGAGUUGUAAACUGCUUUUGUACGAGGGUAAACGCAGAUACGCGUAUCUGUCUGAAAGUAUCGUACGAAUAAGGAUCGGCUAACUCCGUGCCAGCAGCCGCGGUAAUACGGAGGAUUCAAGCGUUAUCCGGAUUUAUUGGGUUUAAAGGGUGCGUAGGCGGUCGGAUAAGUUAGAGGUGAAAUCCCGAGGCUCAACUUCGGAAUUGCCUCUGAUACUGUUCGGCGAGAGAGUAGUUGCGGUAGGCGGAAUGUAUGGUGUAGCGGUGAAAUGCUUAGAGAUCAUACAGAACACCGAUUGCGAAGGCAGCUUACCAAGCUACUGCUGACGUUGAGGCACGAAAGCGUGGGGAGCAAACAGGAUUAGAUACCCUAGUAGUC